UGGAGUCUGUGUGGAAGGCGGUGUCCAAGUCCCUUGGAACAGGGCGCCCAGGAGGGUGAGAGCCCCGUGGGAUGCCGGCGGAAGCAGUGAGGCCCUUCUGACGAGUCGAGUUGUUUGGGAAUGCAGCUCCAAGCGGGUGGUAAAUUCCAUCUAAGGCUAAAUACUGGCGAGAGACCGAUAGCGAACAAGUACUGUGAAGGAAAGAUGAAAAGCACUUUGAAAAGAGAGUGAAACAGCACGUGAAAUUGUUGAAAGGGAAGGGUAUUGCGCCCGACAUGGGGAUUGCGCACCGCUGCCUCUCGUGGGCGGCGCUCUGGGCUUUCCCUGGGCCAGCAUCGGUUCUUGCUGCAGGAGAAGGGGUUCUGGAACGUGGCUCUUCGGAGUGUUAUAGCCAGGGCCAGAUGCUGCGUGCGGGGACCGAGGACUGCGGCCGUGUAGGUCACGGAUGCUGGCAGAACGGCGCAACACCGCCCGUCUUGAAACACGGA
rnacentral:rRNA from 1 species